rnacentral:rRNA from 1 species
GGAAGUAAAAAAUCGUAACAAGGUUUCCGUAGGUGAACCUGCGGAAGGAUCAUUACCUAGAGUUGUAGGCUUUGCCUGCCAUCUCUUACCCAUGUCUUUUGAGUACCUUCGUUUCCUCGGCGGGUUCGCCCGCCGAUUGGACAAUUUAAACCAUUUGCAGUUGCAAUCAGCGUCUGAAAAAACUUAAUAGUUACAACUUUCAACAACGGAUCUCUUGGUUCUGGCAUCGAUGAAGAACGCAGCGAAAUGCGAUAAGUAGUGUGAAUUGCAGAAUUCAGUGAAUCAUCGAAUCUUUGAACGCACAUUGCGCCCCUUGGUAUUCCAUGGGGCAUGCCUGUUCGAGCGUCAUUUGUACCUUCAAGCUCUGCUUGGUGUUGGGUGUUUGUCUCGCCUCUGCGCGUAGACUCGCCUCAAAACAAUUGGCAGCCGGCGUAUUGAUUUCGGAGCGCAGUACAUCUCGCGCUUUGCACUCAUAACGACGACGUCCAAAAGUACAUUUUUACACUCUUGACCUCGGAUCAGGUAGGGAUACCCGCUGAACUUAAGCAUAUCAAA